rnacentral:misc_RNA from 1 species
GUUUCAAAUAUAAAUGCAUAAAGCAUGCACUCAUUUAUUUUAUAUCAAUGUGUUUGUUUAAAAGCAAACAAGUAAAUUUAAGACCACAAGAGUACUCAAAUUUUUAAUCUUGCCUGCAGAGUGGUGCACAGGGAUGAGUGGUAAUAAUCAGAGUGCACAUGCAAAUUAAUUGACUUGAAAGUCAAAUUUUGCCAGCACAUCUUUUUAUUCAAUUGAUGAUCCUUCCGCAGGUUCACCUACGGAAA